rnacentral:rRNA from 1 species
AUUGAACGCUGGCGGCAGGCCUAACACAUGCAAGUCGAACGGCAGCACAGAAGAGCUUGCUCUUUGGGUGGCGAGUGGCGGACGGGUGAGUAAUGUCUGGGAAACUGCCCGAUGGAGGGGGAUAACUACUGGAAACGGUAGCUAAUACCGCAUAACGUCGCAAGACCAAAGUGGGGGACCUUCGGGCCUCACACCAUCGGAUGUGCCCAGAUGGGAUUAGCUAGUAGGUGGGGUAAUGGCUCACCUAGGCGACGAUCCCUAGCUGGUCUGGGAGGAUGACCAGCCACACUGGAACUGAGACACGGUCCAGACUCCUACGGGAGGCAGCAGUGGGGAAUAUUGCACAAUGGGCGCAAGCCUGAUGCAGCCAUGCCGUGUGUAUGAAGAAGGCCUUCGGGUUGUAAAGUACUUUCAGCGGGGAGGAAGGCGGUGAGGUUAAUAACCUUGCCGAUUGACGUUACCCGCAGAAGAAGCACCGGCUAACUCCGUGCCAGCAGCCGCGGUAA